GCCGCACCACCUUCCUGUUCAAGUGGGUCCAGCACAACAAGAAACGCAGGACAGGAGUAUCUCCUCUGCAGCCUAGGCAACGGCCCCAGGAACUGCAUCGAAGUCCAGCUCAACAAAGUCUUUCUCAAGGCAGCGUGUGGGUACCUGCUCCAGCACUAUGACUGGGACCAGAGCCUCUCCUCAUAGGCCCUCCAGUAUAAAUGGCUGCCUGUGUCCUGGCUCACUGG